AUUGAACGCUGGCGGCAGGCCUAACACAUGCAAGUCGAGCGGAUGACGGGAGCUUGCUCCUUGAUUCAGCGGCGGACGGGUGAGUAAUGCCUAGGAAUCUGCCUGGUAGUGGGGGACAACGUUUCGAAAGGAACGCUAAUACCGCAUACGUCCUACGGGAGAAAGCAGGGGACCUUCGGGCCUUGCGCUAUCAGAUGAGCCUAGGUCGGAUUAGCUUGUUGGUGAGGUAAUGGCUCACCAAGGCGACGAUCCGUAACUGGUCUGAGAGGAUGAUCAGUCACACUGGAACGGAGACACGGUCCAGACUCCUACGGGAGGCAGCAGUGGGGAAUAUUGGAAAAUGGGCGAAAGCCUGAUCCAGCCAUGCCGCGUGUGUGAAGAAGGUCUUCGGAUUGUAAAGCACUUUAAGUUGGGAGGAAGGGUUGUAGAUUAAUACUCUGCAAUUUUGACGUUACCGACAGAAUAAGCACCGGCUAACUCUGUGCCAGCAGCCGCGGUAAAAC
rnacentral:rRNA from 1 species